GAUCAAGUGAAAGAAGGGCAUUUGGUGGAUGCCUUGGCAUGCACAGGCGAUGAAGGACGUGAUACGCUGCGAAAAGCCGUGGGGAGCUGCGAAUAAGCUUUGAUCCAUGGAUCUCCGAAUGGGGCAACCCACCUUAGAUGCUUGGAAAAUCAUUUUGGUUGGCUUUUGGUUGAACGAAGCGAAGCUUCGCAAGGCCAGGGGCCGUCGCCGGUUAUCCGGCGUCAAGAAACCAAAGUGGUUUCCAAGCAUUGUUGAAAGGUAUCUUAUCCUGAAUACAAUAGGGAUAAGAAGCGAACGCAGGGAACUGAAACAUCUAAGUACCUGCAGGAAAGGACAUCAACCGAGACUCCGCAAGUAGCGGCGAGCGAACGCGGACCAGGCCAGUGGCAAUGAGGAAUAAAGUGGAAAGAUCUGGAAAGGUCUGCCGUAGCGGGUGACAGCCCCGUACACGUAGAACACUCAUUGUCCUUGAGUAGGGCGGGACACGAGAAAUCCUGUCUGAACAUGGGGAGACCACUCUCCAAGCCUAAGUACUCGUGCAUGACCGAUAGCGAACAAGUACCGUGAGGGAAAGGUGAAAAGCACCCCGACAAGGGGAGUGAAAUAGAACCUGAAACCGGAUGCCUACAAACAGUCGGAGCCCGCAAGGGUGACGGCGUACCUUUUGUAUAAUGGGUCAACGACUUAGUGUGGCAUGCAAGCUUAAGCCGGUAGGUGGAGGCGUAGCGAAAGCGAGUCUGAACAGGGCGCUUUAGUAUGUCGCAUUAGACCCGAAACCGAGUGAUCUAGCCAUGAGCAGGUUGAAGGUUGGGUAACACCAACUGGAGGACCGAACCCGCAUCUGUUGCAAUAGAUUGGGAUGACUUGUGGCUAGGGGUGAAAGGCCAAUCAAACUCGGAAAUAGCUGGUUCUCCGCGAAAUCUAUUUAGGUAGAGCGUCGACCGAAUACCCCCGGGGGUAGAGCACUGGAUGGGCUAUGGGGACUCACCGUCUUACUGAUCCUAACCAAACUCCGAAUACCGGGGAGUACUAGUCGGCAGACACACGGCGGGUGCUAACGUCCGUCGUGAAGAGGGCAACAACCCUGACCUCCAGCUAAGGUCCCCAAGUCAUGGCUAAGUGGGAAAGGAUGUGAGGAUCCCAAAACAACCAGGAUGUUGGCUUAGAAGCAGCCAUCAUUUAAAGAAAGCGUAACAGCUCACUGGUCUAAAUAAGGGUCUUUGCGCCGAAAAUGUAACGGGGCUAAAGCCAUGCACCGAAGCUGAGGCUUG
rnacentral:rRNA from 1 species